AUUGAACGCUGGGGGCAGGCCUAACACAUGCAAGUCGAACGAGUGGCGGACGGGUGAGUAAUGUCUGGGAAACUGCCUGAUGGAGGGGGAUAACUACUGGAAACGGUAGCUAAUACCGCAUACCAUCAGAUUUGCCCAGAGGGGAUGAGCUAGUAGGUGGGGUAACGGCUCACCUAGGCGACGUGCCCUAGCUGGUCUGAGAGGUUGACCAGCCAAACUGGAACUGAGACACGGUCCAGACUCGUCCGGGAGGCAGCAGUGGGGAAUAGUGCACAAUGGGCGCAAGCCUGAUGCAGCCAUGCCGAGUGUAUGAAGAAGGCCUUCGGGUUGUAAAGUACGUUCAGCGGGGAGGCGUUACCCGCAGAAGAAGCACCGGCGAACUCCGUGCCAGCAGCCGCGGUAAUAC
rnacentral:rRNA from 1 species